rnacentral:rRNA from 1 species
CCUACGGGUGGCAGCAGUGGGGAAUAUUGGGCAAUGGGCGAAAGCCUGACCCAGCAACGCCGCGUGAAGGAAGAAGGCUUUCGGGUUGUAAACUUCUUUUGACAGGGAAGAGCAGAAGACGGUACCUGUCGAAUAAGCCACGGCUAACUACGUGCCAGCAGCCGCGGUAAUACGUAGGUGGCAGGCGUUGUCCGGAUUUACUGGGUGUAAAGGGCGUGUAGCCGGGCUGAAAAGGCAGUUGUGAAAUGCGGGGGCUCAACCCCCGAACUGCAUUUGAAACUGUUGGUCUUGAGUAUCGGAGAGGCAGGCGGAAUUCCUGGUGUAGCGGUGAAAUGCGUAGAUAUUAGGAAGAACACCAGUGGCGAAGGCAGCCUGCUGGACGACAACUGACGGUGAGGCGCGAAAGCGUGGGGAGCAAACAGGAUUAGAUACCCGGGUAGUC